AGAGCGAACGCUGGCGGCAGGCUUAACACAUGCAAGUCGAGCGGGCGUAGCAAUACGUCAGCGGCAGACGGGUGAGUAACGCGUGGGAACGUACCUUUUGGUUCGGAACAACACAGGGAAACUUGUGCUAAUACCGGAUAAGCCCUUACGGGGAAAGAUUUAUCGCCGAAAGAUCGGCCCGCGUCUGAUUAGCUAGUUGGUGAGGUAACGGCUCACCAAGGCGACGAUCAGUAGCUGGUCUGAGAGGAUGAUCAGCCACAUUGGGACUGAGACACGGCCCAAACUCCUACGGGAGGCAGCAGUGGGGAAUAUUGGACAAUGGGCGCAAGCCUGAUCCAGCCAUGCCGCGUGAGUGAUGAAGGCCCUAGGGUUGUAAAGCUCUUUUGUGCGGGAAGAUAAUGACGGUACCGACAAGAAUAAGCCCCGGCUAACUUCGCGCCAGCAGCCGC
rnacentral:rRNA from 1 species